CAGUAGUGUGGUCCCAGCAGAGUCCCACACCGAGGACCAGAUCACAAGGUUUUAGGUAGAAAAUGGCAGACGACAGUGUCCAUGAAAACAGAGAGGGCUUGGGGGGGGUCCCAGGCUGGGCAGUCUUGAGAGAGGCGGGGCCAGACACAGGUUGUGCGCGGCUCGCUCUAGCAACGUGUGGAGGACGAGUCUGAAGGAGGCAGGAGGGCAGACAGGGAGAUUUUGAGCGGAGUAUGUUAACAGCCUGAACCAGGAUGAAGAAAUGGAGAGUGCCUGGAGAGGUAUUUAGGGCGGAAGCAGAUGAGGUCACGGGACUGGUAAGUAGCGACACUGGGAAUCCACCCAGGAGGAUGUGACUUGAGAGCCCCAUUCCCAUCACCCAGGAUGCACAAGCUGAUGCAGUGAACAGAAGAGUUCGGGAACCGUGACAAUCCUCUUGCCACCAGCCUAAGAAGGGGCCACACACUAGGAGGGCAGCACUAGAAAACUGCAGGGAAAUGGAGUCAGAAUUUCUGGACCGAACGACUCUGAAGCCCACUGUCGUAGUCAGCUCGGGUUGCCAUAAGAAAAUACCUCAAACUGAGGGGCUUACACAGCAGAAAUUGACUUCCCCACAGUGCUGGAGGCUGGAAGUCCAAGAUCAAGGUGCCAGCAGGGCCCGUUUCUGGUGAGGCCUCUCUUCCUGGACUUCUUGCUGUGUCCCCGCAUGGCCUCUUCUCCACGUGUGCCAGGAGAGAGAGCACUGGCGUCUCUUCCUUUCUUAGAAGGACACCAGUGUUUUGGAUCAGGGCUCCACCCUUGUGGCCUUAUUUAACCUUAAUUACUUCCUUAAAGACCCUCUCUCCAAAUCCAGUCACAUUGGGGGUUAAGGCUUCAACAUAUGAAUUUAGGGAGGGGAGGGGGUGCACAAUUCAGCCCAUAACACCCACCCCACCGCUGGGCUUCGAGUGAUGUGAGCCAGUCAAUGUCCUCUUGUCUAAGCCAGCUUGAGUCGGUUUUCUGUCACAUCUUACCUUACAGCGUCCCCCUCCUCUUCCUGUCCCUGCUGAGCCUGGCACAGAAGGGGUCAAUGAAUAUUUGCGGAACGACUGCUCCAAGACUUUGUUUCUUCUCUUACCUAUAAUGACUACCUCCCAGAUAAAUAAGCAUCUCUUUCUCUCUGCCCCGGCCUAAACACCUGACGUAGUCACAAGGUCCCUCCCGGCUCCUGCCCCAAGUCCCUGUGCUUCCACAGGAGGCCCCUUCCAGAACUAACAGCCUGGGGUUCUGUUUGAAGUUUUUCAAUUUCCGAAGUCCCAAGAUUCUGUAACCCAUGUUAAGCACAAGAAAUCUUUUGAUCGGCUGCUAUACCUCCUGCCCAAGCACAGAAGAGAAAGCCCUGGGGAGGACCUGGAUUGUCACAGUGUUGUCCUUCCAGAGAAGGUCGACCAGAGGUCGGCCCUGCUGAGAACAGGCAGCUGAGGUCUCGCAAUGUCCAGACAUUCGGCAGGUCCUGCAUCAAGGACACUCCGGUUCCUUGUGCUCAUUGCUCCACCAUCCACACUGCCAUUCACGGUGCCCAAAAUGGGACUCGUGCCGGUUCCAAGCAGGACAUCUCCUUCUUCCAGCCAUGAGAACUCCGCUUGUGCAGACCGGGGAAAUGAGUGCCUCAUUACUCAGCCAACUGGAAUGUGGGAGAAUUAGAUCUCAAGAAAAAUGACCCAUGAAUGGACCCUGGUGAUCCAGGGCCUUGAAGGUUCAGAGGUGCUUCCUCCUGAGUCCGCACUGGCCCCAAGCUUUCCUUCCCGUGCCUUCUGCAGUUACCAUUUACAGGACACUCGCUACGCGCUGAGCACGGUGCUCAGUGCUCUCCCGCCAUCAGCUGAUUUUCUCAUCUUCACAACAGUCCUGCAGUAAAUGACAUCCGGAAGGAAGCAGCCCAGGCUGCUACCACAGCUUCAUAACCAUCAGACUGGGGCUCCUCCUGACUGGGGCUCUCCAUCCUCAGUGCAUGCCUUCCACUUGUGACCCAAGACACUGCUGGAGGAGGAAGGAGCCAAGAAGAAGGCCACUUCUCCUCCAAGGACACUUCCUGGAAUUCCCUUCCGCUUAUCCCCCACUAACCAGAACUAACUCCCAAGGUCCCUGGGAAAUAGGGUAUUAUCAAAGUAGGGGUUCUAUUCCCAUGGCCAAGGGGGUGAACAGAUAUGGGGGGCCCACUGGCCUCUCUGCCACGUUUCACAAACUUCUUUCCAGUGUGUAUAGUUUUGUAUCCUGGUUUUUUCUCUCUCUCUCUUUUUUUUUUUUGGUG
rnacentral:lncRNA from 1 species